ACCCUCCUGAUUUGUUGCCCAUCAGAUCUAAACACUGGUCUGAGUGGUUAUAAAAAGAGGAAAAGUACAAUUGAAACGAACUUCAGUUCUUUUGGGACACACGAGCUAGUUUCAAACCAAA